CGGUGGAGUAUGUGGUUAAUUCGAUGCAACGCGAAGAACCUUACCUGGUCUUGACAUCCCGGAGACCCUUAGGAAACUAGGGGUGCUUCCAUCUGGAAGAAUCUGGAGACAGGUGCUGCAUGGCUGUCGUCAGCUCGUGUCGUGAGAUGUUGGGUUAAGUCCCGCAACGAGCGCAACCCUUGCCUUUAGUUGCCAGCAGUUCGGCUGGGCACUCUAAAGGGACUGCCGGUGUUAAACCGGAGGAAGGUGGGGAUGACGUCAAGUCCUCAUGGCCUUUAUGACCAGGGCUACACACGUACUACAAUGGCCGAUACAAAGGGCAGCGACACUGCGAGGUGAAGCCAAUCCCGUAAAAUCGGUCUCAGUCCGGAUUGGAGUCUGCAACUCGACUGCGUGAAGUCGGAAUCGCUAGUAAUCGUGAAUCAGAAUGUCACGGUGAAUACGUUCCCGGGCCUU
rnacentral:rRNA from 1 species